rnacentral:rRNA from 1 species
UACGUAGGGUGCGAGCGUUGUCCGGAAUUAUUGGGCGUAAAGGGCGCGUAGGCGGUUUGACCAGUCAGGUGUGAAAUUCCCGGGCUUAACCUGGGGGCUGCACUUGAUACUGUCAGGCUUGAAUUCGGGAGAGGAUAGCGGAAUUCCCAGUGUAGAGGUGAAAUUCGUAGAUAUUGGGAAGAACACCGGUGGCGAAGGCGGCUAUCUGGACCGACAUUGACGCUGAGGCGCGAAAGCGUGGGGAGCAAACAGG